rnacentral:rRNA from 1 species
CCUAUAGGCUGACUGACGGAGGACAUUACCGAGUUCUCGGGCUUCGGCCCGACUCUCCCACCCUUUGUGAACGUACCUCUGUUGCUUUGGCGGCUCCGGCCGCCAAAGGACCUUCAAACUCCAGUCAGUAAACGCAGACGUCUGAUAAACAAGUUAAUAAACUAAAACUUUCAACAACGGAUCUCUUGGUUCUGGCAUCGAUGAAGAACGCAGCGAAAUGCGAUAAGUAAUGUGAAUUGCAGAAUUCAGUGAAUCAUCGAAUCUUUGAACGCACAUUGCGCCCCUUGGUAUUCCGGGGGGCAUGCCUGUUCGAGCGUCAUUACAACCCUCAAGCUCUGCUUGGAAUUGGGCACCGUCCUCACUGCGGACGCGCCUCAAAGACCUCGGCGGUGGCUGUUCAGCCCUCAAGCGUAGUAGAAUACACCUCGCUUUGGAGCGGUUGGCGUCGCCCGCCGGACGAACCUUCUGAACUUUUCUCAAGGUUGACCUCGGAUCAGGUAGGGAUACCCGCUGAACUUAAGCAUAUCAUAACCCGGAAGAG